UUCGGAGGAGCGAGUAGAGCAGCAGACGGGUGAGUAACACGUGGAUAACCUACCCCAAGGCGGGGAAUAACCACUCGAAAGGGUGGCUAAUACCGCAUAUGGCCAUUUACCUGCGGGUUUUAUGGUCAAAGGCUUCGGCCACCUUGGGAGGGGUCCGCGGUCGAUUAGCUAGUAGGUGAGGUAAUGGCUCACCUAGGCGACGAUCGAUAGCUGGUCUGAGAGGAUGAUCAGCCACACUGGUACUUAGACACGGACCAGACUCCUACGGGAGGCAGCAAUGGGGAAUAUUGCGCAAUGGGCGAAAGCCUGACGCAGCAACGCCGCGUGGGUGAAGAAGGCCUUAGGGUCGUAAAACCCUGUCAGAUGGGAAGAAACCUGCUUAGCAGCUGACGGUACCAUCAAAGGAAGCACCGGCUAACUCCGUGCCAGCAGCCGCGGUAAUACGGAGGGUGCAAGCGUUGUUCGGAAUUACUGGGCGUAAAGGGUGCGUAGGCGGAUUGUCAAGUCUGAUGUGAAAGCCCGGGGCUCAACCCCGGAAGUGCAUUGGAAACUGACAGUCUUGAGUUCGGG
rnacentral:rRNA from 1 species